rnacentral:rRNA from 1 species
AAUCAUGGCUCAGGAUGAACGCUGGCGGCAUGCCUAAGACAUGCAAGUCGUACGAAGGGGCCCAAUGAAAGGAAUUGAAAUUCAGAGUGCUUGCACAAAGAAUGGAUUUUUCUUGGAUUUGGAUUUUCCCCUUAGUGGCAAACGGGUGAGUAACACGUGGGUUACCUACCUCUAAGAUGGGGAUAACAGUUGGAAACGACUGAUAAUACCGAAUGUGCUCUACGGAGUAAAGAAGCCCUUAAAGCUU